GUAGGGAAUCUUCCGCAAUGGACGCAAGUCUGACGGAGCAACGCCGCGUGAGUGAAGAAGGUUUUCGGAUCGUAAAACUCUGUUGUUAGAGAAGAACAAGUGCUAGAGUAACUGUUAGCGCCUUGACGGUAUCUAACCAGAAAGCCACGGCUAACUACGUGCCAGCAGCCGCGGUAAUACGUAGGUGGCAAGCGUUGUCCGGAUUUAUUGGGCGUAAAGCGAGCGCAGGCGGUUCCUUAAGUCUGAUGUGAAAGCCCCCGGCUCAACCGGGGAGGGUCAUUGGAAACUGGGGAACUUGAGUGCAGAAGAGGAGAGUGGAAUUCCAUGUGUAGCGGUGAAAUGCGUAGAUAUAUGGAGGAACACCAGUGGCGAAGGCGACUCUCUGGUCUGUAACUGACGCUGAGGCUCGAAAGCGUGGGUAGCAAACAGGAUUAGAAACCCCAGUAGUCC
rnacentral:rRNA from 1 species